GAUGAACGCUGGCGGCGUGCCUAAUACAUGCAAGUCGAGCGAACGGACGAGAAGCUUGCUUCUCUGAUGUUAGCGGCGGACGGGUGAGUAACACGUGGAUAACCUACCUAUAAGACUGGGAUAACUUCGGGAAACCGGAGCUAAUACCGGAUAAUAUUUUGAACCGCAUGGUUCAAAAGCGAAAGACGGUCUUGCUGUCACUUAUAGAUGGAUCCGCGCUGCAUUAGCUAGUUGGUAAGGUAACGGCUUACCAAGGCAACGAUGCAUAGCCGACCUGAGCGGGUGGUCGGCCACACUGGAACUGAGACACGGUCCAGACUCCUACGGGAGGAAGCAGUAGGGAAUCUUCCGCAAUGGGCGAAAGCCUGACGGAGCAACGCCGCGUGAGUGAUGAAGGUCUUCGGAUCGUAGAACUCUGUUAUUAGGGAAGAACAUAUGUGUAAGUAACUGUGCACAUCUUGACGGUACCUAAUCAGAAAGCCACGGCUAACUACGUG
rnacentral:rRNA from 1 species